AGGUUGAGCUAUCUCAAAGUGAUGCUGGACUUAGCUAUUUCAGGUCAACAAUAACAAGAUAUGGAAGGUGUACCAGCCAACUGAGAAAAUAGAUGCAGUUCAUGAUCCAAACCUCUUCAUGUUGAGGAGGCAAUGUGUGAUGCCAUUUGCAACCUUCUUGUUGAGCAAGCUGAAACAGGAGUAACUCCAUUAAUCAUUAUGUCACAUUGUAAUCCAUCACAAGAAUCAUCUCUCCUAUUUCAUUCACUGAAUUUCUGUA